rnacentral:rRNA from 2 species
AAUUCGAAGCAACGCGAAGAACCUUACCAGGACUUGACAUCCCUCUGACCGGCGUGUAACGGCGCCCUCCCUUCGGGGCGAGAGGAGACAGGUGGUGCAUGGUUGUCGUCAGCUCGUGUCGUGAGAUGUUGGGUUAAGUCCCGCAACGAGCGCAACCCUUGUCAUUAGUUGCCAGCAGGUGAAGCUGGGCACUCUAGUGAGACUGCCGGGGACAACUCGGAGGAAGGUGGGGAUGACGUCAAAUCAUCAUGCCCCUUAUGUUCUGGGCUACACACGUGCUACAAUGGCCGGUACAGAGAGACGCAAUGUCGCGAGGCGGAGCAAAACUCUAAAACCGGUCCCAGUUCGGAUUGCAGGCUGAAACUCGCCUGCAUGAAGUCGGAGUUGCUAGUAAUCGCGAAUCAGAAUGUCGCGGUGAAUGCGUUCCCGGGUCUU